AGUGCUGGGAUUACAGGGGUAAGCCACAGUGCCCGGCCAUUUCCUGCUUCUUAAAAUAGUUCCGUACUUUCUAAAUUUUCUUCAGCACGUAUAUGUUGAUUUGACAAUGAGAGAAAAAAAACCCAUCCAUCCUCCUUCAAAUCAUUCACACAGAUGACUAUUAACCCUGCCCAGAGUCACCUAGGCUAUGCUGCUUUUACAAGGAUGGCACAAAAAUUCUUAAAACAGGAUUUGAGCAAAAUAUCAAUUCUAUUCAGCUUGAAUGAAAUCUACCAUAUCACCCUUGGAGGAGGCAUGGAGCAGAAGUGGCAAAUCCUCCAAGGCGCUGAUGAGAAUCACAGCUUCACGCACAGCCAGCUCCCCAGCCCUCAGCCUCCCCUCUUCCUGCUCCCAUCUUCUCUUGUCUGGGAGUGCCUCCCACACAAGGUCUUCUCCACACUGAAAUCCAAUGCCCUCAGGGGCUGCUGGGCUGCACGCCCAUCUGGACUCAGAGCUGAAUAGCAGGGGUAGAUGCUGUGGCUCAGCGGGUGAGGCUUAGCCUUUGCACAGCCUAUCACAGAUGGCUCCGUUUACUUGUAAAUCGGAGGUAUCCUCCUCAAGCACCCAGAAGGUAGGUCAAGGACCUGGAGGAGUCUCCUUUUCCUCAUAGUAAACCAAAGGCUGGGCCCACGCAUCCUGACCCCUCCUGUCCACAAGGAAAUUGUUGAGGAAUGAAUCGUACGCCAGAUCAGCAGGUGACUAGGGCACAUGAGGAACCCACUCGAAGACUUUCUCUCAGUGUGCCGCUUGUCUAAGGCAUGAUGAACAGGUGUUUGAGAGGGGAUGGCGGACAAGCAAGGAUCACUCUAUUCCAUAUGGAAUUGAAGCACGGGUGCUUAAUUCAUGAGAUGAGCCCAGACAUUCCUACUUAUUCCAGAAUCUUUCCUCCCCUCCAUCUUUCUAAAUGGAUGUCAAUUUUAUUUGGGGCUGUACUGUGCUCAGUUGAUACCUGAUCUCUCAGGCUCUCUUACAGAUGUUCACAGUGCUGGACCAUGAAAUGUAGGAACAGGACUCUGGGACGGGUAUGUAUGCCUGCAGAGAAAGGCCCAAAAGGAAAAUAAGGCUGCAUUUGACCUUACCCUUUCCCUUCUUGGAGGAGGAGAUGCCUGGGAAUGAAGCAGCUGUCUCACACUCCUAAAAAGAAAGGCCCCAUGCUAGGAUGGUGGGGCAGGAAGCUAGAAGGAUCUGAGGUUCUUCUUGACUUUCUUGACAACAUCUCUAGACUAUCUACUUCCUGAUUUCUUGUAAUAUGACACAAAUAAAAGCCUCAUUUGGGUAAGCCAGCAUGGUUGGGUUUCUAGUACAGGGAGCCAAAUACAAUUUUAAGUGAUGCCUCAAGAUUGUCAAAGAGGGUGCCUUUUUGUGUGAUUGCAGACUCGCCAACCAACGUGCAUUUCCUGUCCAGGUUCUGUCCUCAGGCUCACUUCCUCCUAGGUUGGACCUGGCCAGGCUGCAUUGUCCCAGCAGAACUCCCAGCAGGCCUGGGCAUGCAUCUCGGAUGAGGCUGAGCUCUUUGACUGUUCAUCUGUAUUUAUCACUCUGGGAGAAAGUGAAGAAUAAAAUACCAUGGAUUGUUUUUACUUCUCUCAAGAGAGAAUGUGGCAUACAAGAAAAUGCAUCUUGGCUGAGAAGUCCCUGAGAAUUAAAAACUUGAUCUUCCUGAACUAGGAACAGGGGGGCUUUUCCCUCUCUUUAUCAAACCAUUUAGGGCAUAACGGUGCUUCCCACUGAUAGCCCCAUGGAUUGUAGAUCUUGAAAAUCCUUUGGGAUCUGUAAGAUCUUAGGACUUUGUAAAGAGGAAUUAAUGAUCUUAGACUAGAUAGCAUGCAAAAAAAGAAAAAAAGAGGAAAUGAUGAAUAUAUCAUCUAUCAGGUUUCAGGCUUUUCUCAAUCAAUCAACAUGUUUUCCAGUGCCUACCAUGUGUCUAUAUAACCUUCACAAAAUGAACAAAUGUCUUUAAAAGAUUCCUGCAAAGAAAUCCGAGUUGGAGAUAAUAUCAAUAAUAAAAGCAUAAAAAACGAAAAGAAUAUUUCUAGGGUGACCCUUUUCCUUCUUUAUAAGUUCUUUAUUAGCCACUUCAUAAGGCAAAAGCAAUGAGAAUCCAAUCAGAUCUGAAAAGAAGUUGACAAAAAAAUGCAACAUUUAAAAAACAAUUAUCUCUUUGGGAGGCUGAGGCAGGUAGAUCACGAGGUCAGAAGAUUGAGACCAUCCUGACUAACACGGUGAAACCCCGUCUCUACUAAAAA
ensembl:lncRNA